rnacentral:rRNA from 1 species
GAUCAUGGCUCAGGACGAACGCUGGCGGCGUGCUUAACACAUGCAAGUCGAACGGAAAGGCCCAGCUUGCUGGGUACUCGAGUGGCGAACGGGUGAGUAACACGUGGGUGAUCUGCCCCAAACUUCGGGAUAAGCCUGGGAAACUGGGUCUAAUACCGGAUAUGACCUGCUCCUGCAUGGGGGUUGGUGGAAAGCUUUUGCGGUUUGGGAUGGGCCCGCGGCCUAUCAGCUUGUUGGUGGGGUAAUGGCCUACCAAGGCGACGACGGGUAGCCGACCUGAGAGGGUGAUCGGCCACACUGGGACUGAGACACGGCCCAGACUCCUACGGGAGGCAGCAGUGGGGAAUAUUGCACAAUGGGCGCAAGCCUGAUGCAGCGACGCCGCGUGAGGGAUGACGGCCUUCGGGUUGUAAACCUCUUUCGCCAGGGACGAAGCGCAAGUGACGGUACCUGGAGAAGAAGCACCGGCCAACUACGUG